rnacentral:sRNA from 1 species
AAACUCAGAUGUUGAACGUGAAGGAUAACGUUGCGUCAGCAACGGCCCGUAGGGCGAGGCGAAGCCGAGUUAUCCUGCACGACCCACCA